GUAGGUGCAAGCGUUGUCCGGAAUUAUUGGGCGUAAAGCGCGCGCAGGCGGUUCUUUAAGUCUGAUGUGAAAGCCCACGGCUCAACCGUGGAGGGUCAUUGGAAACUGGAGAACUUGAGUACAGAAGAGGAAAGCGGAAUUCCACGUGUAGCGGUGAAAUGCGUAGAGAUGUGGAGGAACACCAGUGGCGAAGGCGGCUUUCUGGUCUGUAACUGACGCUGAGGCGCGAAAGCGUGGGGAGCAAACAGGGAUUAGAUACCCUGGUAGUCCACGCCGUAAACGAUGAGUGCUAAGUGUUAGGGGGUUUCCGCCCCCUUAGUGCUGCAGCUAACGCAUUAAGCACUCCGCCUGGGGAGUACGGCCGCAAGGCUG
rnacentral:rRNA from 1 species